rnacentral:piRNA from 2 species
UAGACUAAUUGGACAGGUGACUCGG